rnacentral:rRNA from 1 species
GAGUUUGAUCUUGGCUCAGAUUGAACGCUGGCGGCAUGCCUUACACAUGCAAGUCGAACGGCAGCAUGAUCUAGCUUGCUAGAUUGAUGGCGAGUGGCGAACGGGUGAGUAAUACAUCGGAACGUGCCCUGUAGUGGGGGAUAACUAGUCGAAAGAUUAGCUAAAUACCGCAUACGACCUGAGGGUGAAAGUGGGGGACCGCAAGGCCUCAUGCUAUAGGAGCGGCCGAUGUCUGAUUAGCUAGUUGGUGGGGUAAAGGCCCACCAAGGCGACGAUCAGUAGCUGGUCUGAGAGGACGAUCAGCCACACUGGGACUGAGACACGGCCCAGACUCCUACGGGAGGCAGCAGUGGGGAAUUUUGGACAAUGGGCGAAAGCCUGAUCCAGCAAUGCCGCGUGUGUGAAGAAGGCCUCGGUGUAG